CCUACGGGAGGCUGCAGUGAGGAAUAUUGGUCAAUGGACGCAAGUCUGAACCAGCCAUGCCGCGUGCAGGAAGACGGCUCUAUGAGUUGUAAACUGCUUUUGUACGAGGGUAAACGCAGAUACGCGUAUCUGUCUGAAAGGAUCGUACGAAUAAGGAUCGGCUAACUCCGUGCCAGCAGCCGCGGUAAUACGGAGGAUUCAAGCGUUGUCCGGAUUUAUUGGGUUUAAAGCGUGCGUAGGCGGUCGGAUAAGUUAGAGGUGAAAUCCCGAGGCUCAACUGCGGAAUUGCCUCUGAUACUGUGCGGCUAGAGAGCAGUUGCGGUAGGCGGAAUGUAUGGUGUAGCGGUGAAAUGCUUAGAGAUCAGACAGAACACCGAUUGCGAAGGCAGCUCACCAAGCUACUUCUGACGUUGAGGCACGAAAGCGUGGGGAGCAAACAGGAUUAGAUACCCCAGUAGUC
rnacentral:rRNA from 1 species